ensembl:lncRNA
GCUCUCUGAUUGGUUGGUCAGACACAGGCUGUCUGCCAGCCUGGAUUUUUCUAGCUCAUAGCUUCGCCCUGCUACGCGUGUGUGCCUGUACAAAGGCCGUUCAGCCUCGGGAUUUACACUCGGCUCGACACGGAUAUGUGAAGAAUGAAGGGAGCCUGCAGCGAAACGGAGAGCCAACCUCUGACUGAGUGCCCGUUUACUCAGUCUGACCACCUGUUGAAGGGCUGUUUGAUGACGAUUUGGACUCCUCUGGGAGAUGAGGACACACCCACAUCUGUUCCAUACUGCAGCCAUGGAUGGUGUUACAGCUCUGAGUCAGCUUUGGGCCAUCAGACGCACACACUGGAAAACCAGCGCCUGUACUUCAUGCACGAGAGACGGCCUCAGUGAUAAUUCAUCAGCAGCUGUGAAGAGAUGUAUUUGAAUAUCUUCUGGUUCCACUUUUCUUAACCUGGAAGCUGAGGAUGGCUGAUUCCUGACAAGGACACACACCUCAG